GUGGAUUAGAUACCCUGGUAGUCCACGCUGUAAACGAUGGGCGCUAGGUGUGGGGGGUUUUUAAUCCCUCCGUGCCGCAGCUAACGCAUUAAGCGCCCCGCCUGGGGAGUACGGCCGCAAGGUUAAAACUCAAAGGAAUUGACGGGGGCCCGCACAAGCGGUGGAGCAUGUGGUUUAAUUCGACGCAACGCGAAGAACCUUACCUGGGUUUGACAUCUGCGGAACCUCAUGGAAACAUGGGGGUGCCCAGCAAUGGGAGCCGCAAGACAGGUGCUGCAUGGCUGUCGACAGCU
rnacentral:rRNA from 1 species